rnacentral:rRNA from 1 species
UGGAGAGUUUGAUCCUGGCUCAGAUUGAACGCUGGCGGCAGGCCUAACACAUGCAAGUCGAACGGUAACAGGGAGCAGCUUGCUGCUYYGCUGACGAGUGGCGGACGGGUGAGUAAUGUCUGGGAAACUGCCUGAUGGAGGGGGAUAACUACUGGAAACGGUAGCUAAUACCGCAUAACGUCUUCGGACCAAAGUGGGGGACCUUCGGGCCUCAUGCCAUCAGAUGUGCCCAGAUGGGAUUAGCUAGUAGGUGGGGUAACGGCUCACCUAGGCGACGAUCCCUAGCUGGUCUGAGAGGAUGACCAGCCACACUGGAACUGAGACACGGUCCAGACUCCUACGGGAGGCAGCAGUGGGGAAUAUUGCACAAUGGGCGCAAGCCUGAUGCAGCCAUGCCGCGUGUAUGAAGAAGGCCUUCGGGUUGUAAAGUACUUUCAGCGGGGAGGAAGGUGUUGUGGUUAAUAACCGCAGCAAUUGACGUUACCCGCAGAAGAAGCACCGGCUAACUCCGUGCCAGCAGCCGCGGUA